AGGCAGAGAGAGAGAGAAGGCAGAGAGAGAGAGAAGGCAGAGAGAGAAGGCAAAGAGAGAGAGAAGGCAGAGAGAGAGAAGGCAGAGAGAGAGAGAGAAGGCAGAGAGAGAGAGAGAAGGCAGAGAGAGAGAGAAGGCAGAGAGAGAGAGAGAAGGCAGAGAGAGAGAGAGAAGGCAGAGAGAGAGAGAGAAGGCAGAGAGAGAGAGAGAAGGCAGAGAGAGAGAGAAGGCAGAGAGAGAGAGAAGGCAGAGAGAGAGAGAAGGCAGAGAGAGAGAGAGAAGGCAGAGAGAGAGAGAGAAGGCAGAGAGAGAGAGAGAAGGCAGAGAGAGAGAGAGAAGGCAGAGAGAGAG
ensembl:lncRNA